rnacentral:tRNA from 2 species
GGAGCGAUGGCCGAGCGGCUUAAGGCGGUGGUCUUGAAAACCACUGUGGCGUUUUGCGUCACCGGGGGUUCGAAUCCCUCUCGCUCCG